GGGAAGGUAGCUCAGUGGUAGAGCGCUUGCCUUGUAUGCCUGAGGCCCUGGGUUCGAUUCCCCAGCACCA
rnacentral:tRNA from 1 species